UCGGUCGACUACGCCGAACGUCUUCCUUUAGCCUAAAGACUAAAACAUGCACAUAUAGAGGCCCGUCCUAGCAUGGCGGUCCUGGUGGAUGGCUCCGUAAUAAAAUACUGGACUACCCGACUGUGAGAUUCUAAGCGGAAUAACAUUAGUAAGCUAAUGCUAAUACGAGAAGAAACUGCCCGUCUCUGGCGGGCUGCUCGCGUUGGCUGAAACCAACCCCCGCAAGGGGCCCUGGUGAAUCACAACGUCUAGCGUGGCUCCCUCGUGGAGCCGAGUCGGUCGUGGUUUUUCCUUAUUAGGUUUCGUUGGUAGGGUAUUGGCCUACCAAGCCGAUAAUGAGUGACGGGGGUUUUGGGACCGGCUCCGGAGAAAAAGCCUGAGAGACGGCUUUUACGUCUAUGGAUGGCAGCAGUUACGAAAAUUGCCCAAUGCUCCUUGAGCGAGGCAGUGACAGGCAGUAUCAAAGCGCGACUCUUCGAGUUGUGCUAUUGGAAUGAGUACGGAUUAAAUCCCCUAAUGAGGAUCCAGUCGAGGGCAAGUCUGGUGCCAGCAGCCGCGGUAAUUCCAGCUCGACGAAGGAACACGAUCUUUGUUGCAGUUAAAAAGCUCGUAGUUGAAUCUCUGCGCACGGGUUGUCGCGGCGGGGGCAACCUCGCCUUGACCGUCCGCGCGCAUGCUCGGGGUUCGGCGGGCUCCCGCGAGGGGGUUCGUCUUCAGCCCCGUACGUUACUGUGAACAAAACGGAUCGUUCAUGGAGGGUAUUAUGCCUGAACGACUCGCACGGAAUAACAAGGAUGGGCUUCCGUCUCUUUCGUUGGUUUGGGAUGGGGGUUUGGUUAACAGGAACAGCUGGGGGUACUCGUACUGUUAUGUCAGAGGUGAAAUUCUUGGAUUAUAACAUGACGAACGACUGCGAAAGCAUUUACCAAGGAUGUUUUCAUUAAUCAAGAACGAAAGUUCGGGGAUCGAAGAUGAUCAGAUACCAUCGUAGUCCGAACCGUAAACGAUGCCGACUUGAGGUUCCGGCAAGCUGUUACGGCUGUCGGGGUAUCAUAUGGGAAACCAAAGUCAUAGGGUUCCGGGGGGAGUAUGGUCGCAAGGCUGAAACUUAAACAGAUUGACGGAAGGGCACACCAGUAGUGGAGCCUGCGGUUUAAUUUGACUCAACACGGGGAAACUCACCAGGCCAGGACAUGAGAAGGAUUGACAGUUCGAGAGCACUUUCUUGAUUUUAUGGGUGGUGGUGCAUGGCCGUUCUUAGUUGGUGGAGUGAUUUGUCUGGUUGAUUCCGAUAACGAACGAGACCCGCGCCGUCAACUAGGCCCCGCCGACUUGCGUCGGCCGGGGACUUCUUUACGGGACAACUCGUUUUUAACGAGCGGAAGCAGCGGGCAAUAACAGGUCUGUGAUGCCCUUAGAUGCCCUGGGCCACACGCGCGCUACAAUGACGAGCACAGAAAGUUUCGUGCUUGCCCGGAAGGGCAUGGCUAAUCUCGAAUGCUCGUCGUGAUGGGGCUAGAUCCUUGCAAUUAUUGAUCUUCAACGAGGAAUUUCUUUUACGUGCGGUUCAUCAGACCGCGCGGAAUAUGUCCCUGCCCUUUGUACACACCGCCCGUCGCAGCUACCGAUUGGACGUUCCGAUGAAAGGUUCGGAGAGGGCCGCAGGGCCGCGAGGCUUUGCGGUUCUCAAAGUUCUUUGAAUCUUAGCGUCUAGAGGAAGCUGAAGUCGUAACAAGG
rnacentral:rRNA from 1 species